GAGUAGGGCGGGACACGUGGUAUCCUGUCUGAAUAUGGGGGGACCAUCCUCCAAGGCUAAAUACUCCUGACUGACCGAUAGUGAACCAGUACCGUGAGGGAAAGGCGAAAAGAACCCCGGCGAGGGGAGUGAAAAAGAACCUGAAACCGUGUACGUACAAGCAGUGGGAGCACAGAGCAAUCUGUGUGACUGCGUACCUUUUGUAUAAUGGGUCAGCGACUUAUAUUCUGUAGCAAGGUUAACCGAAUAGGGGAGCCGAAGGGAAACCGAGUCUUAACUGGGCGUUAAGUUGCAGGGUAUAGACCCGAAACCCGGUGAUCUAGCCAUGGGCAGGUUGAAGGUUGGGUAACACUAACUGGAGGACCGAACCGACUAAUGUUGAAAAAUUAGCGGAUGACUUGUGGCUGGGGGUGAAAGGCCAAUCAAACCGGGAGAUAGCUGGUUCUCCCCGAAAGCUAUUUAGGUAGCGCCUCGUGAAUUCAUCUCCGGGGGUAGAGCACUGUUUCGGCAAGGGGGUCAUCCCGACUUACCAACCCGAUGCAAACUGCGAAUACCGGAGAAUGUUAUCACGGGAGACACACGGCGGGUGCUAACGUCCGUCGUGAAGAGGGAAACAACCCAGACCGCCAGCUAAGGUCCCAAAGUCAUGGUUAAGUGGGAAACGAUGUGGGAAGGCCCAGACAGCCAGGAUGUUGGCUUAGAAGCAGCCAUCAUUUAAAGAAAGCGUAAUAGCUCACUGGUCGAGUCGGCCUGCGCGGAAGAUGUAACGGGGCUAAACCAUGCACCGAAGCUGCGGCAGCGACACUGUGUGUUGUUGGGUAGGGGAGCGU
rnacentral:rRNA from 1 species